rnacentral:lncRNA from 1 species
AGGCUAUCAGCUCUUUGUGAAAUGUUUAUAUUCUAUUUAAUCUUUAAAAAACAAAACAAAACAAAUAAAAAUGGUACUUGACACUCACAUGACUAGCAAUAUUUGGAAAAAGAAAAAAUCAAAAAAUUUAGAUGCUUUCUAAUUACUUGUUAUUAUUAAUUUUUUUAAGGGUGAACCAGGAAAACCAGGAGAACAAGGCUUGAUGGUACGUAUCUCAGUUUAUUUUCUUAAUUAAAGACAAUAGAAAGACAGGUCAUUAAAAACUAUGGUUUAUGUGUGAGUAAUCAAUCUUUGUGUAUGACCCAUAACAGAAGGAGUAAUUUAUGAAAGAAAAUAGCAUGCCCUACUUACUACAUGCUAAGGAUCACAAGACCUCCAUCUUAGCUCUGUGAAGAGACACCAGGCCAUAGCCAUUCUUAUAAAGGAAAACAUUUAACUGGGGCUGGCUUACAUUUUCAGAGGUUCAGUCCAUGUCAUCAUGGUGGGGAGCAUGGUGCACACAGGCAGUCAUGGUACUGGAGAAGUAGCUGAGAGUUCUAUAUCCUGAUCCGUAGGCAGCAGAGAGAGAGACUGGGCCUGACUUAAGGUUUCAAAGCCCAUCCCAAUGACACACUUACUCCAACAAGGCCAUACCUCCAAAUCCUUCUAACCCUAUCAAAGAGCAUUCAAACACAUGAGCCUGUGGGGGGCAUUCUCAUUAAACCCACCCCAGCUUCAUAUCCAUAGAAAUAAUAUUGGGGAGGGGGUGCAAUGGGAAGACAGGGAUUUCUACCAUUCAGCAAAAACAGAAUCCCAUAAUGAAAUCAUGUUGCAUGAAUUGAGCACAGAAGUCCCAGUUCCUUGUGACUUGUUGGUCCUUUGCCAAUGUAUAAAGGUCACAUCAGCUUUCUGAGUCCUAAAGAGAACAUCUUCAACUGCCUCUCUCCCCUCCUCUUCCUCUCCAGCUGCCAUUCUAACCUGUGGGAUGAGUGUGUGUUUAACGUUCUUGGAGAAGAUAAGAUGACGCUUCUGAUACCCAAAUGUCAGAGGCAGCUCAGGCCUUCCUGGGAUGUAGGAGUGAGCCAAUCAAGCCUGAGUGUCCAUGCUCACAGCAGGCAGAUAGCUCGGGCAUAAAAUUUAUUUUAAGAAUUCUUACUGGAUUCCUAGGAAGCAUAACAGCUGGCUAAAAACUAAACAUGCAGAUGUGGAAAGGAGUAAGAGCUGUAUGCAGGAAAGGCCUUCUGUAGUGCUGUCCUGGGGAGACCAGCCGCUCUGCAAGUGGAACUGACCACUUGUGGAGCAAAUGCACCCCGGGGCCAAGCCUCACCCACCACAUGGAAAUUGCUCUAUUCGUGACCUGUAAAAUCAAGAUAGAUCAUUCAGUACAAUCUUUGCUAUAUAAUUUCUAAAAGAAGGUUAUAGAACACUUAUCAUCAGUAGCACCUGCAUGGAGGGACAGAUAGCAUUAGCUCGUGGUAUGCAGGUUCAGAGCAAAGGAGUUCUUGAAGAAGUAAGAAAUAAGUUUUGAAAUUGUUUGAAGCAAUUUCUAUAUAAUUUCUGUCCUGGGAAAUGAUCAGAAUCUACUUAUUUUACUCAUUCCUACGUUAAAAUCUACUUGGCAUUCUUGGGAGCCCUUGUAUACCCUGAGUUCACUCACACUUAAUAUCUCUGGCUUCAGGUUUCCACUUUGGCUCCGAGUGCCUCAUCAUAUUUAGUAUUUUCCAGUUAAACGGGUGUUUUAGAAAAGUGUGUUUCCUGUCUCCCUAAGGGGAUACCUAUUCUCCAGGACAGAAUACAUGAACAAUUCAUAAUCUUACAUUCCUGUAAUUUCUCAUUAUGUUUUUGACUAUGUUCUUAGAGUGCCAGAGAUAGACCCAGGGCCUUAUACAGGCUAAGUGCCUGCUUCACUAAGCUAUGCCCACUCCUAAUUUAAAUCAUUACAAAUAAAUGUUUUGCAUAACCCUAAGUGAAUUAUUGUGCUAUCUUAAUAGAUGAUUCUAUUUCCCAUCUCAUAUAAAACUUUCUCAAAUGCAGACAAACAUUGGCCAUCUUUUCUUUUCUCUUUCUUUCUUUCUUUCUUUCUUUCUUUCUUUCUUUCUUUCUUUCUUUCUUUCUUUCUUUCUUUCUUAGGUUUCUCUGUGUAGCCCUGGCUGUUUGGAACUCACUCUGUAGACCAGGCUGGCCUUGAACUCAGAAAUCUGCCUGCCUCUGCCUCUUAAGUGCUGGGAUUAAAGGCUUACGCCACCACUGCCCGGCAGCCGUAUUUUCUAUCAACCUUUUUGUCUCUCUUUACAGUCUUUUAGAUGAGUUCAGGGCUCAUUUUCUAGAUGCAGCCAAGAAAUUUAAAUGAAAUCACAAGUGGCCAGAGGCUCAAUGAUCUUCUAAUGGUCAUUUAUAGAUGACGUUUUCUGAAAGUGUAAAUACUGCUUUAGGUGAACAUUUCUUUAUUUAUAUAUAAGUGGUCAAAUCCUAAUGGGCAUCUCAGAGGUCAUUCACAAAUGAAUGUAGCUAAUGUACAAGUCAGACCAAAGUUUGAGAGUACUGUUCCCUCCUCUCGUCCCAAAAUCCUGAAGAUGGCCCUAUUCUGCUUUGUGUCGCCAUGAGUUAGUUUUGUCUGCAUUUGAAUUGUAUGCCGCCUGACUCGAGCAGUUUGUCCACAUUUGUGUCUGGAUUCUUUCAUUCAGCAUUGUAUUUGUGAGAUCAUCUACUUCUGUUUUAAUAGCCUUCACAGCUGU